UAUACACUCUCUUUUCUCACACACAUAUAUAAUGGUCUCCCAUCAUAUCUAUAGUCUAUAGAUACUUAUAUAUGCCUAGUCCAUGUUGUUGUUUAUAAAGUAUAUAUAGUGGAUGAUAUAAAAAAAAAAAAAACAAGAAUAUCAGACUCCUCGACUAAAACCUAUUUUUUCUCUCUCGACUAAAACCUAAAACCAGCCGCCGUCCAUCCAGAUCUGUUUUCCGCUUGCCCUCUCCGGUGACCGGCGCUCCUCGUCGCAGCCGUGAGAGGGUACCCAGUAGUUCCCUUUUCGUUUAGUUGUUGUUUCUUUCGAUUCGUCUUACCUCUGGUGGUUAAGUAGAGAGGAGUUGUCAGGUUGACGGUGGUUCAUCUCGGCGAGCUUUAGAGGCAUGGCAGGUGGUCAGCUUCUCCAGAGAGAGUUGUCGUUCUGGGCUUCCGAGAUCUGUAGAUCUAAUGGUUGCUCUGUCUUAGAAAAGGAUUUGCGAAUCGGUGACCUUUUGUCUCGCUCCAGCUCCUUGGUCCGGCCUACAAGUUCUUAUGUGUCCUUUAGAGUUCUCUUUGGGUUCACUCUGGUUCGAUCUUCCGCUGUCCUUGUUUGUGAUUGGUGGUGUCCAGUUUGGAUUGUUCGCUCCUAGUCUCUGCUUUUCAGAUCUGUUCGAGGUCUGGUCCUAUGGGUUUUGCUUCUACCUAGGUGCAAAAAAGUCGCCUUGUAUACGACAUCGCCGUAUCCGGAAGAAGUGUGAAGAACUAAGUGGUUCUGUCUUUGCGGAUUAUGAAGAUUACCAUAGGAGUUCUGUUACUUUUAGGCAGUUUCUUAGAGGAGGAAUGGAUUUUCGAAGGUUGGCCGAGGGCAUCUUCGUUUUAUACAAGCAAAGGAUCUCUUGAAGUUAGCAUUCCUUGUGGGUUUUGGUAUAAUCCUUCUUUGUGAGGUUUUUGUUUUGGUAUGUUUUUGUUAUGGGUGUUUCCUUCAAUCUUUGUAAUAGCCUUGUUUUUCAGUUCUUAGUUUCCCUUGCAUAGGGCUUUAGAUUCCGGGGAUAUCUUGUUCUUCCGCCGGCUUUAGACUCCGGGGAUAUCAUGUUUUUCCGCCGGCUUAGCUUGUAAUCCUAAGUUGUAAUGGUUUGAAUAAUAAAAUUCUAGAUGAUAAAAAAAAAAAAAAAAUGUGUAGUGGAGGGUGAUAGUGUGGUUGUUGACAGAAGAUAGAGAGCACUAAGAAUGCUAUGCAAACAGCCGUCAAUGUUGAUGGUGAGUCACAAUAAAAAGAGCCAAGAGAGCUAGACCAUCUGCAUCUCCACUCCUAUGUGCUCUCUAUGCUUCUGUCAUCACCUUGGUUUAUUACUCUCUCCACUAUCUGUAUCUCUAUACAUUACAUAUA